rnacentral:rRNA from 1 species
GAGUUUGAUCCUGGCUCAGGACGAACGCUGGCGGCGUGCCUAAUACAUGCAAGUCGAGCGAGCGGAACCAACAGAUUUACUUCGGUAAUGACGUUGGGAAAGCGAGCGGCGGAUGGGUGAGUAACACGUGGGGAACCUGCCCCUAAGUCUGGGAUACCAUUUGGAAACAGGUGCUAAUACCGGAUAAUAAAGCAGAUCGCAUGAUCAGCUUUUGAAAGGCGGCGUAAGCUGUCGCUAAGGGAUGGCCCCGCGGUGCAUUAGCUAGUUGGUCAGGUAACGGCUUACCAAGGCGACGAUGCAUAGCCGAGUUGAGAGACUGAUCGGCCACAUUGGGACUGAGACACGGCCCAAACUCCUACGGGAGGCAGCAGUAGGGAAUCUUCCACAAUGGACGCAAGUCUGAUGGAGCAACGCCGCGUGAGUGAAGAAGGUUUUCGGAUCGUAAAGCUCUGUUGUUGGUGAAGAAGGAUAGAGGUAGUAACUGGCCUUUAUUUGACGGUAAUCAACCAGAAAGUCACGGCUAACUACGUGCCAGCAGCCGCGGUAAUACGUAGGUGGCAAGCGUUGUCCGGAUUUAUUGGGCGUAAAGCGAGCGCAGGCGGAAAAAUAAGUCUAAUGUGAAAGCCCUCGGCUUAACCGAGGAAUUGCAUCGGAAACUGUUUUUCUUGAGUGCAGAAGAGGAGAGUGGAACUCCAUGUGUAGCGGUGAAAUGCGUAGA